rnacentral:lncRNA from 1 species
CAAAAUAUGAGAAAAUGCCAGUGGAACUUCAGAGUUAGUGAGAACGCAGAGUUCUGAGUCGGGAGAAAAAGUGACUCAGCAAAACCGAAGAAACAUCUGGCAGGUGCUUCCUGUCUCACUGAAUGUGCGGUAACACACACUUCCCAUGGGAGCACUGUGGAAAUUGCAGCAUGGGGGCUGGAGAGAAGCAUCAGCGGUUAAGAGCACUGACUGCUCUUCCAGAGGUCCUGAGUUCAAUUCCCAGCAACCACGUGGUGGCUCACAACCAUCUUUAAUGGGACCUGGUGCUUUCUUCUGGUGUGUUUGAAGAAAGUGACAGUGUGUGUACUCACAUAAAAUAAAUAAGUAAAUAAAU